rnacentral:lncRNA from 1 species
CGCAACCCAUCAAACUAAUCCUCAACAAACUACACCUAAUGGUCAGACGGGCGUAACUACUCAAACCACUCCCCACGGUCAUACGGGUGCGAACCCCCAAGCCAAUACUCAACAAACUGUCCCUGUCAUCACAACCCUCAGCAAACCACUCCCAUCACGACCAACCAACAGACCACUGCAACCCAACAACAAACACCCACGGGUACGCAAACGACCCUUGCUACGACAGUCAUUCAAACCCCAAGCGGCAACACCAAUACUGUGACCACACCUAUCACUACCCUAGCUAAUAAUACCGGCACAACGGUUACACCCAUUACUACCCAAACGACUACGCAAACUAUCCCUGGACUCGGAGCCAUCAAUGGAGAAGACCUUAAGAAACUGCUUGCCCUCCUACAAGCUGGACACUCCACCGCGGUACCGAACAUCCCUUCACCGUUUACCGCUGCAGUUCGUGACGCCCAACUUCCAACGGGAUUCAGACAUGUGAAUGCAGACCUUCGAUACCAUGGCAAUUCGGACCCUCGGGAAUUCUUAAUCAGGUUCAACAUUGAGAUGGACUUGUAUCAAAUCCCAGACCUCGUCAGGUGUAGGUUCCUCGCGGCAAGUCUGAGGGAAAGCGCUCAGCAAUGGUUUCAGAAAUUAGGGGAAGGUGUGAUCUCUUCUUGGGUAGACAUGCAGCGAAUGUUCAUGAUGCAGUUUCAAGCCGCAACCAAAUACGCCCCACCGCAGAACCUACCGGGGAGUAAGAGGUAGAGGCAGAGACCAUACAUCGGUCGGAGGAAGAGGUCGCGGACCACCCAUAAUUGAAUACCUCCCUUCGCAGAGCGAGUCUGGCCAGCACACGCCAAACCAGCUAGGUCGAAGAAGGUCGCGCCCCCUCAAUGGUAACACGGGCGCAACCCACCAAACCAAUCCUCAACAAACUACACCUAAUGGCCAGACGGGCGUGACCACUCAAACCACUCCUCACGGUCAUACGGGCACGAACCCUCAAGGCAAUGCUCAGCAAACUAUUCCUAUCAUCACUAAUACUCAACAAACUGUCCCUGUCAUCACCAACCCUCAGCAAACCACUCCCAUCACGACCAACCAACAGGCCACUGCAACCCAACAACAAACACCCACGGGUACGCAGACGACCCUUGCUACAGCAGUUAUUCAAACCCCAGGCGGCAACACCAAUACUAUGACCACACCUAUCACUACCCUAGCUAAUAAUACCGGCACGGCGGUUACACCCAUUACUACCCAAACAACUACGCAAACUAUCCCUGGACUCGGAGCCAUCAAUGGAGAAGACCUUAAGAAACUGCUUGCCCUCCUACAAGCUGGGCACUCCACCGCAGUACCGAACAUCCCUUCACCAUUUACCGCUGCAGUUCGUGACGCCCAACUUCCAACGGG